UACGUAGGGGGCAAGCGUUGUCCGGAAUCAUUGGGCGUAAAGCGCGUGUAGGCGGCUUGAUAAGUCUGCUCUGAAAGCCCGGGGCUCAACCCUGGGAGGCGGGUGGAUACUGUCGAGCUCGAGUCCGGAAGAGGCGAGUGGAAUUCCUGGUGUAGCGGUGAAAUGCGCAGAUAUCAGGAGGAACACCAAUGGCGAAGGCAGCUCGCUGGGACGGUACUGACGCUGAGACGCGAAAGCGUGGGGAGCAAACAGG
rnacentral:rRNA from 1 species